rnacentral:rRNA from 1 species
GACGAACGCUGGCGGCGUGCCUAAUACAUGCAAGUAGAACGCUGAAGGAGGAGCUUGCUUCUCUGGAUGAGUUGCGAACGGGUGAGUAACGCGUAGGUAACCUGCCUGGUAGCGGGGGAUAACUAUUGGAAACGAUAGCUAAUACCGCAUAAUAUUGACUAUUGCAUGAUAGUCAGUUGAAAGGUGCAACUGCACCACUACCAGAUGGACCUGCGUUGUAUUAGCUAGUUGGUGGGGUAACGGCUCACCAAGGCGACGAUACAUAGCCGACCUGAGAGGGUGAUCGGCCACACUGGGACUGAGACACGGCCCAGACUCCUACGGGAGGCAGCAGUAGGGAAUCUUCGGCAAUGGACGGAAGUCUGACCGAGCAACGCCGCGUGAGUGAAGAAGGUGUUCGGAUCGUAAAGCUCUGUUGUAAGAGAAGAACGAGUGUGAGAGUGGAAAGCUCACACUGUGACGGUAUCUUACCAGAAAGGGACGGCUAACUACGUG